UACGAAGGGGGCUAGCGUUGCUCGGAAUUACUGGGCGUAAAGCGCGCGUAGGUGGUUUGUUAAGUUGGAUGUGAAAUCCCCGGGCUCAACCUGGGAACUGCAUUCAAAACUGACAAGCUAGAGUAUGGUAGAGGGUGGUGGAAUUUCCUGUGUAGCGGUGAAAUGCGUAGAUAUAGGAAGGAACACCAGUGGCGAAGGCGACCACCUGGACUGAUACUGACACUGAGGUGCGAAAGCGUGGGGAGCAAACAGG
rnacentral:rRNA from 1 species